GAUGAACGCUGGCGGCGUGCCUAAUACAUGCAAGUCGAGCGAACAGACGAGGAGCUUGCUCCUCUGACGUUAGCGGCGGACGGGUGAGUAACACGUGGAUAACCUACCUAUAAGACUGGGAUAACUUCGGGAAACCGGAGCUAAUACCGGAUAAUAUAUUGAACCGCAUGGUUCAAUAGUGAAAGACGGUUUUGCUGUCACUUAUAGAUGGAUCCGCGCCGCAUUAGCUAGUUGGUAAGGUAACGGCUUACCAAGGCAACGAUGCGUAGCCGACCGGAGAGGGGGACCGGCGACAGUGGGACUGGGAGACGGCCCAGACGCCGACGGGCGGCAGCAGUGGGGAAGAUUGCAAAAUGGGCGGAAGCCAGAUGCAGCAACGCCGCGUGCGGGAUGACGGCCGUCGGGUUGUAAACCGCUGUCGCCUGGGACGAAGCGUGAGUGACGGGAAUGGGUAAAGAAGCACCGGCUAACUACGUG
rnacentral:rRNA from 1 species